GCUUCUCUCUCUCAAAUUCUUUACUCUUUUCUUCAUAUUGCCUCCUGGAUUCUGCAAGCUGUUCCUCCAACUCUAAGAGUGCAUCCUUCAGGGUAUCUACUUGGUACAUGAAAUUUGUUUUUUCGUUGUCUAGUUGAGCAUUUGACACCAUAGCCUUUUUGUAUUUCUCUUCAACUUCAGCUAGAGAGUCCUUCAUUUCUUUCAGUCCCUGCAUGUAUUUGCCUUCUACAUCUUGAAUCUGCUCCUUUAACUCAUAGAUAUCCUUUAUUUCUCUAAUAGAUGCCUCUGUAUCUGCUGAGAUGGACGUAUCCCC
rnacentral:lncRNA from 1 species